AUUGAACGCUGGCGGCAUGCUUUACACAUGCAAGUCGAACGGUAACAGGCCUUCGGGUGCUGACGAGUGGCGAACGGGUGAGUAAUGCAUCGGAACGUACCCAGAGGUGGGGGAUAACGCAGCGAAAGCUGUGCUAAUACCGCAUGUGAUCUGAGGAUGAAAGCGGGGGACCGAGCAGCAAUGUUUGGCCUCGCGCCUUUGGAGCGGCCGAUGUCGGAUUAGCUAGUUGGUGGGGUAAAGGCCUACCAAGGCGACGAUCCGUAGCUGGUCUGAGAGGACGACCAGCCACACUGGGACUGAGACACGGCCCAGACUCCUACGGGAGGCAGCAGUGGGGAAUUUUGGACAAAGGGCGCAAGCCUGAUCCAGCAAUGCCGCAUGCGGGAAGAAGGCCUUCGGGUUGUAAACCGCUUUUGGCAGGAACGAAACGGUGUCCGCUAAUACCGGGCGCUAAUGACGGUACCUGCAGAAUAAGCACCGGCUAACUACGUG
rnacentral:rRNA from 1 species